GUGUUUUGCGGAAUGCACUUAAGGAGUUUCACACAAAUGAUCAGCAUUUUGCAUUUUCGGUGUUCGAUUAAACUGAUUUUUUACGAUACUCUUGAAAAGCGUUUUAUUAUUUGGUGUAACCAUAGCAAGGGUUCUUUUUAUUUACUCUUUUCCCCUGCUUUGGCCACCAUAUUCCUCUCCCUUCCCUUCCCAAUCGGUAAUCAACGCUGCGAAGAGCUAACCAUCUUCUCUUUCCCCUCAACAGGCUUGGAGUUUGCUUCCAAGCAAGGUGAAGGCUUACUUUCAUAUUGCAAUGACGACUGACACAAUUCUUCAAGAUCAAAAGAAACGCACCUCCGAUGCGUUACAGCGAAGGUUUGCCCUUGCGGAAGCUGAGCUUUGUGUACAACAACAGAAGAACAAAAAGAGACCUCAUGAAGAAAAUAAGGAAGUUACUCUUGACGUAACUUCUUCUUCCGCUGAUGUGACUGAUGCAUUAUUCAAACCCUCUUCAAAUGCUUCAUCCAAGAAAGGGAACUUCUCCUUCUCCGGCCACAACACAGCACAAGACGUGGAAGCUAAUCAUGCAACAUAUUUUGAACUCUCUCAUCCUGUACACGAGAAUCUGCUGCCAACAAGUCUAAAGAUUUCUGACAGAAGAGGAAACACAGUCAGUCGGGUUUUGCACGACCUCCUCCAAAGUGGUGAUUCAGCUCAGAAGUACAUGCAGGGAUCCAGAAGCAUGAAAAUUGACAACUGGAUUCUUCUUGAUAAUGUAGUUCAAGAUCGUGGUAGAUCUCUUGAUGCUCGUAUCAGGGCUUUGCAGACUCACUCUAAGCGGUCUAAAAAGCACAUGUCUAUGAAGCAACAUAGAAGAUGUGGAUCAUUAGAUUUGCCUCAAGAGUUCUAUAACUUCGAUAUUUUCAAGCCAAUGCAUGAAAUGUGGAAAGGCUACAUGAACCAACUUCUUAAAAGUGCUGGGAAAAAUCAGUUGGCACAAUACCUUCUCGCUGCAGAUCUACACGGUGCUAUGAUUCUAGUUGUCCAGUGUAAAGUAGCUUCCUACAAUGGAGUGAUUGGUAUCAUGAUUCGUGAAACUACAGAAACAUUUGGGAUAAUUACACAAGAUAAUAAAUUCCGAGUUGUGCCCAAAAAGCUUUCUGUUUUUAUGUUCCAAGUUGAUUGCUGGAAAAUUACAUUGCAUGGAGACAAACUUACCUCAAGGAAUGUAGGAUCGUGAUGCCAAUUUUGACAGUAGAACCCCAGGUCAUGCACACUAAUGAGCAUUGAAGCUUCUAGUACUGGUGGUGGUUGUGAAAAAAGAAAAGAAAAAGAGCAUAUGGGUAGUUAGGAAUUUAAAUUUCCAUGGCAAGUAUCUGUAGCUUUUAUGGAAAUUCGUAUGCUCCCUUGCCUCAACAACAAAUCAGCAUAGAGUUGAAGUGUCUGGUAAUCAUUUAGUUCAAAUCUCCUCUUUACGUGGAGUUGAAGUGUUCGGUUGCACUAAUGAAACAUAAAUUUUAUUGGAUAGCAGAUUGUGGUCAAGUAUAAGCAAGCCUGUCGCUUAUCCGGGUAGUUGGAUGCCAUUUAGAUGUCAAUUGGAGGAAUGAAACAUCACUCACGUUUGUUUUUCCUGUGCUCAUUGUUUGUUAAGGGGUCUAUGGCUCAAUGGAAUUGAGCUCUUUUUGAUGGUGUCCACCUCUCUGCUAAUGAAACAGUGGCCAACAAUAAUGAAGUGUUUGCUUUGCUGGUGCCUUCGCAGGGCGAUAAUGGGAAGGAUGAUGACGUAGACAGAGUUACCAGCAUUGAUGAAGGAUAUCACGACUAAUGAUGAAGUCAGCUUCUCCAACCGAGUUCACGUCAAGUGCAAAUGGGAAUCAGUGGGGCAUGGAAUUCAAGUAUGAAGUACCCUUUAUUGAAUGCUAUUGGCAAAAGAUAGAAGUUCUUUUGGUGCAUCAUCUGCCUUCAUGUGAAAUACACUGCUUGUUUCAACGCUCUGUCUUGUUUUCGAUAUCAUUUUUUUGCCAAUUACAAGUUUUCCAACAGAUUGGUAAAGGUACAAGACAUCAACCAGGGAAGGCUUCUGAAUGACUUUUGCAAUCGCUUUGGGCGGAUAUAUUCUUCAUUUGUAGGAAUAUGUUUAGGCUUUAAUAUUACUAAAGGUUAAUCGUGAACUAGAGCAAGAGGCCCUUACCUUACCAUAGGAGCUAGAGGCAGCUAUGGCUAUGUUGUAGUAAAAUCUGUUUCUAUCUUCCUUCUAUAUCUAUGCCCCUGGUAUUUGCCCGGAAAAGAUUGAUUGAACAAAUUCAAACUUAUUUUUUUAAGGAGUAAUUCAAUUCCUUGAAAUAGUGAGGUUUUAUUUUUGUCUUC